GACACCACAUUUAGGGGCGUAUCCAUUACAUAUUAAACAAGAUAUCAAAGUAACAUUGGUACGUGAGAAAGAGUCACAUUAAGGGGGGAUUAAACGCCACAUUAAAGUGACAUUAGCGUACAUAUUAAUGUGAUAUUAAACACGACAUCAACGUCACAUUAAAGGAGAAUUAAAUCGUCGCAUUUAGGGAGAUAUUGAUAACACAUCAAACAGACAAAAAAGUGACAUUAGGAUACGUAUAAAUGUCAUUCACCACAAUUAAAAUGUCACGUUAAAAGUGAAGUAAAUGUUACAUUAAAAGAGAACUAAAUCACCACAUUUAAAGAGAUAAUAAUGACGAAUCAAAAUGGACGAAAAUGUGACAUUAGGCUACGUAAAAAUGUCACAUUUAAAUGGGCAUAAAUGAUUUAUCCAACAGGACGAAAAUGUGACAUUAGACUACGUGAGAAUGUUACAUUACAAUGGAAAUUAAUGACACAUCAAACCGGACGAAAAUGUGACAUUAGGUUACACAAAAAUGUCGCAUUUAAAUGGGAAUUAAUGACGUAUCAAACUUGACGAAAUAUAACAUCAGUCUACGGAAAAAUGUCACGUUUAAGUGGAAUUAAUGACACAUCAAACAUGACAUCAAUGUGACAUUAGGCUACGGUAAAAUGUCACAUUUAAAUAUUAAUGACACAUGAAAAAUGACAUCAAUGUGACAUUAAGUUACGGGAAAAAUGUCACAUUAAAAUGGGUAUUAAUGACACAUCAAACAUGAUAUCAAUGUGACAUUAGGCUACGGGAAAAUGUCACAUUAAAUGGGUAUUAACGACACAUCAAACAUGACAUCAAUGUAACAUUAGGAUACGGGAAAAUGACACAUUAAAAUGGGUGUUAAUGACACAUCAAACAUGCAAUGACACAUUGGGGUGUAUAAAAGAAUGUCACAUUAAGGGGUAUUAACGCGAAGAUCAUAAAAAAAGGGUAUAAGUGGUGUAAAAAGUCACGGAUCAAGUACGAAUAAAAGAAACAAAAAAAACAGGAUCAUAAAAGACACAUUAGUAGUGAUAUUCGGGUCAAAACAGAAAGCAUAGAUAUAUUAACUCGAGGUAAACAAACAACAAAAAGUCGAUCAAAGAAUUACCCAUCUGAUGCCUUUCAGAUAGGGUUCCUACAAGGCGAUCAAAGAAGUCAACUCUCACGACUGAGAAACUUUCUAGGAAAGCACGGAUUACUAAAACGACUACUACUAAGAUUACGAUACAGAAACAAUCAAUAAAAACAUAAGAAUAGAAGAAAGUGAAGGGAAAUAAAAAGAUAAAAGUAAAAUAAUUAAAAACACGAACAACAGACUAAAAAAAAGGUCCUAACAAGACCACUACUACUUCUCAAACUAUUUCGAGAUAUGUUAAAAAUACACUUAUUAAGUUAAUGGAUUUCUCCUUUAAUAGUAGACGAUCAUCUUCCUUACAAACAACAAAAUAUCAAGAUUUCAAGAACUUCUUAACAAGUUUGUUGAUUUAGAAAAACUCACCGAUGUCUCCCGACGGAGGGUCACUAAUCGAAGGCGACGACGGAGAAGCGGACAACUUAGUAGAAGUACGUAAAGAACGGUACAGACGUCUCAUCAAGUUGAAUAUGAAACAAUAAAGACCCGUAAACAUUGAGUGUAAAUCAUACUCCAGAAGAUCACUGUAACUAUCAUCUAGAAGAGGUCAAUAACGAGCAACGAACGACGGGGGACGUUAAUUCAAACUUCAUUACAGUCAUGUUAACGUUUUUUUAACUUCUUGUUGUGACCAUCUUAAAGAAUCGUUGCGGGGCAAACAAUCAUAAGCAUUAACAAAAAGUCUAACAUAUCACAUAAACAUACGUCUCUCCAUUGACUUAAAAGAAGAAAAAAUCACAUAGGACUUAAAAAGGAAAAACUCCUAUGACUUUACAACAAAAAUAGAUAACUUCGAAAGUUAAAAGAGACUAGUACCGUUUAUACGUCGAUCUAUGGUUGUCUACAUGCGGGUUUAUAUCCUCUUUUACCUUUGCGGCUGUUCGUAAUAUCCUAAAGUGAUCUACAUACAAGAGUCUCCUCACAAAAAUGUUAUAUAAGGACAAACUAAAGUAGAAUGGUCGUGAGUUUUGUCUCCACCUUAUCAAGACGACAUCGAACUCCUCAACUUCUAAAAGUACAUGGACGCUAAACAGAGACCCUACUAGAACAACACUAGGGGUUCACUGACGAACACAAGAAGAAGGUCCACUAAAACAAGAGCUGCUUUUCCUUUCCUAUCAACCGGCCUAGUCAAUAUGAAAACAACGACAAUCAACGAACUGCCCAGUCUAAAAGUCGGGCUGGGCAAAAGAAGCCCUUUUUGUAUGUAUGUAUGUUAACAGCAUCCAAAAAAGUUAUUGUCAAUUAUCGACUAACCAACCUUUUGAACUUACUAUAGAGUAAUGUUUAGUCAGCUUACGGUUUAUCUGUCAGGGAUGAAAAAACAACAACGACAGGUGGGCGCCGGCGACCAGUAGCGGCUAUACUAACGAUAAUAGGUCUUCUAGUUUGUUUAGUUAGCCAAAUCUGGCUGGCGAACGUUAUUUGGCGGGCGGAAAACUAGUUAGGCCAUACGUAACAGGUCAAACUCAUACGUUGUGCCCGCACCCUGGCUUAGGUUGAGGUCAUACCGAGCCACAAUAACGAAGAAAUACGAGGACUCAGCGACUUAGGGAUAACAGGAGACGAUCUAGGCUAGCCGCACGCGCUCCCACUACAACUACAUUUGGGUUGGCGUCUACAACUACAUUUAAGGAUAACAGGAAACGUCGGUAACUGCAAGUAACUUCUUUUAAACUGGUCAGCUUUAGACUU
rnacentral:rRNA from 1 species